rnacentral:misc_RNA from 1 species
CGUCGUUCUCCGGACGUGGACCCAACGGGCUGACGCCGGAGGUGCUGAAGCCGGACCUGGUGGCCCCUGGUGUCAACAUCCUCGCCGCCUGGACCGACGCUGUUGGACCGACCGGGCUCAACUCUGACACACGUCGGACAGAGUUCAACAUACUUUCGGGUACAUCGAUGGCUUGCCCCCACGUCAGUGGGGCUGCGGCGCUGCUGAAGUCAGCCCACCCAGGGUGGAGCCCUGCUGCGGUCAGAUCAGCAUUGAUGACG